AGGAAGCAGCUUGCUGCUUCGCUGACGAGUGGCGGACGGGUGAGUAAUGUCUGGGAAGCUGCCUGAUGGAGGGGGAUAACUACUGGAAACGGUAGCUAAUACCGCAUAAUGUCGCAAGACCAAAGAGGGGGACCCUCGGGCCUCUUGCCAUCGGAUGUGCCCAGAUGGGAUUAGCUUGUUGGUGGGGUAACGGCUCACCAAGGCGACGAUCCCUAGCUGGUCUGAGAGGAUGACCAGCCACACUGGAACUGAGACACGGUCCAGACUCCUACGGGAGGCAGCAGUGGGGAAUAUUGCACAAUGGGCGCAAGCCUGAUGCAGCCAUGCCGCGUGUAUGAAGAAGGCCUUCGGGUUGUAAAGUACUUUCAGCGGGGAGGAAGGGAGUAAAGUUAAUACCUUUGCUCAUUGACGUUACCCGCAGAAGAAGCACCGGCUAACUCCGUGCCAGCAGCCGCGGCAAUACGGAGGGUGCAAGCGUUAAUCGGAAUUACUGGGCGUAAAGCGCACGCAGGCGGUUUGUUAAGUCAGAUGUGAAAUCCCCGGGCUCAACCUGGGAACUGCAUCUGAUACUGGCAAGCUUGAGUCUCGUAGAGGGGGGUAGAAUUCCAGGUGUAGCGGUGAAAUGCGUAGAGAUCUGGAGGAAUACCGGUGGCGAAGGCGGCCCCCUGGACGAAGACUGACGCUCAGGUGCGAAAGCGUGGGGAGCAAACAGGAUUAGAUACCCUGGUAGUCCACGCCGUAAACGAUGUCGACUUGGAGGUUGUGCCCUUGAGGCGUGGCUUCCGGAGCU
rnacentral:rRNA from 1 species